GCCACACUCUCCUCCUGCUCUUGUUUGACUUAUCAGACAGAAUCAAAUCAUUUUUGUAGGCAGCAAAGCAUGAUGGUUUUUGAGGCACCCCACCAGCUUUGAUCUGUGAGAAGCCCUGAAAAAUGUCACUUGUCCACAAAUAUUUAACAGGGAGUGAAAUGGAGGCACAGGGGUAGCUCAGGUCAUAGAAUCAUAGAAUGUUAAGCAUUGGAAGGGACCUUAAAGAUCAUCUAGUCCCAAUUCCCCCAGCUACAGGCAGAGACACUCCCCACUAGACCAGGUUCCUCAAGGCCUUAUCCAACCUGGCCUUGAACACUGCCAGGGUUGGGGCAUCCAGAACCUCCCUGGGCAACCUAUUACUGUAUAUUACCACCAUCAUAGUAAAGUAUUUUUUCUAAACUAAAUUUCCCCUCUUUCAGUUUGUAUCCCUUGUCCUAUCACUACAGUUGCUGACAAAAGACUCCCUCACCAGCUUCCCUGUAGGCCCCUUCAGAUACUAGAAGGUUUCUAUGAGGUUUCCACACAACCUUCUCCAGGUUGAACAGCCCCAACCUUCUCAGCCUUUCUUCGUAGGGCAAAUGCUCCACUCCUCUUAUCAACUUCUUGGACCUCCUCUGGACUUGCUCCAACAGUUCCAUGUCCUUUUUAUGUUUAGGGCACCAGAACUGUAUGCAGUAAAGGUCCAAGAAGGUACCCAUGGGAUUUCCAAAAAGGUACCCAUGGGAUUUCCAACAAGGUCCUGCCAGCUCCUCAUUUGCCAUCAUCCCUCAUUUCUGUGAGCAUCUUGUUCUCCUGGCCUGUUUAGGGCCAUGCUCUCAUCAUACCCCUGUGUGUGGAAAUGUCUAUCUUACUGUCCUGGGGCCCCACCAUGGGAGUCUUCAGACCCCAACAGAGAGCAGCAAGCCCUGUGGGUGCAAAUGCUCUCAUUGAGCUUUGAGCCGCCUGCUCAGGCCUGCUUUCAAUCCACAGAUUGAAAGUGAAAGCUGGGGAGACCACAGGGCUCACAGGACAUCAUCACCCAGGAGAUAAGGGGAGCCAGGCUUUCUCCUAAAGGAGCACAAACACUCACACUCUGAAAGGAGAGAUUAAAGGGAAAAGGCUGGAGGAGGAGACACCAGAUCAGGCACUCCAGUCCAGGAUGGUCUGCAGCACCACAAGGGCAAGAGCUUGUGUUGACAGUCACAAAGAGUAAAACCAGAGCAGGGCCUGAUGACAGGCUCACAGCAGGCUCACAGCCCUGCCUGCUCCCUCUGCUGCUGAGCAAGCAGAGCAAGGCUGAA